AUUGAACGCUGGCGGCAGGCUUAACACAUGCAAGUCGAGCGGAGCGAGGGUGCUUGCACCUUAGCUUAGCGGCGGACGGGUGAGUAAUGCUUAGGAAUCUGCCUAUUAGUGGGGGACAACAUUCCGAAAGGAAUGCUAAUACCGCAUACGCCCUACGGGGGAAAGCAGGGGAUCUUCGGACCUUGCUCUAAUAGAUGAGCCUAAGUCGGAUUAGCUAGUUGGUGGGGUAAAGGCCUACCAAGGCGACGAUCUGGAGCGGGUCUGAGAGGAUGUUCCGCCACACUGGGACUGAGACACGGCCCAGACUCCUACGGGAGGCAGCAGUGGGGAAUAUUGGACAAUGGGCGGAAGCCUGAUCCAGCCAUGCCGCGUGUGUGAAGAAGGCCUUUUGGUUGUAAAGCACUUUAAGCGAGGAGGAGGCUACUUAGAUUAAUACUCUGGGAUAGUGGACGUUACUCGCAGAAUAAGCACCGGCUAACUCUGUGCCAGCAGCCGCCGUAA
rnacentral:rRNA from 1 species